UGAGGAAUAUUGGUCAAUGGACGGAAGUCUGAACCAGCCAAGUAGCGUGCAGGAAGACGGCCCUAUGGGUUGUAAACUGCUUUUAUACGAGAAUAAUUUGAUGCACGUGUGCGUUAUUGCAUGUAUCGUAUGAAUAAGGACCGGCUAAUUCCGUGCCAGCAGCCGCGGUAAUACGGAAGGUCCAGGCGUUAUCCGGAUUUAUUGGGUUUAAAGGGAGUGUAGGCGGUUUGUUAAGCGUGUUGUGAAAUUUAGGUGCUCAACAUUUAACUUGCAGCGCGAACUGUCAGACUUGAGUACACGCAACGUAUGCGGAAUUCAUGGUGUAGCGGUGAAAUGCUUAGAUAUCAUGAAGAACUCCGAUUGCGAAGGCAGCAUACGGGAGUGUAACUGACGCUUAAGCUCGAAGGUGCGGGUAUCGAACAGGAUUAGAUACCCUGGUAGUCCGCACAGUAAACGAUGGAUGCCCGCUGUUAGCGCCUGGCGUUAGCGGCUAAGCGAAAGCAUUAAGCAUCCCACCUGGGGAGUACGCCGGNNCGGU
rnacentral:rRNA from 1 species